UUAUUUUUCAUGGAAAAUGAGCUGAGGUGCAAUGGAAAUGGAGCUUCAUGAAACACAUGCAGGGCAGAAUGGGCACCAUCACAUUUACUUUUGAGUGUAUUUUUCAUAAACAAGCUAGACGCAGCUCAAGCACCAAAGUAACUCUAACAACAGCAAUGGAAGAUACUUCAGAGGAUGCAAGAGAUGAGUUAUACGGCAAAUUAAAGCCAUCAUGUUUCUAUGAUAUGCAAGAAAACAGAUGCUAAAAUUAAUUUGGUUCCUGAAGCAGAGUGUAAUUAAGACGUACCUGCUUUGUGUGCAGGUUAAAAAACACACCAACCCACCUCAAAUCAAAUGGCAAUAAAAAUGCAAUGAAGCCUGCUCUUCCAAAUUA